UGCUGCAGCUGAUAUGGUCAUAGCUGGCAAAUUGCUAAAAGACAUCUUCGAAAACAUGUUACAUAUUGCACGCAAAUGUGAAUGAAUUGAUUAGUGUCACCAAAAAGGUUUUAUUGAACGCCUACAAGAGUUACUUUAUAAGAAGAAAAAUGGUCAACACAUUUCUGUCGUAACAAGGUGGAGAGACGUAAUUAGAAGCCUUUUGGUCUUAUUCAGACAAUUUUGAGAAUGUUGCUGAUGUAAUAAAUAAUUUAAAUGAAGAUGGACGAAGCACAGGCAAAUGUGAAACUUUCUUAGAGGAUCUAUCUUUACAGGUUCGAAGGCGAUCAGAUACCGCCCUAGUUCUAACCAUAAACGAUGCCAGCUAGCGAUCCGCCGACGUUCCUCCGAUGACUCGGCAGGCAGCUUCCGGGAAACCAAAGCUUUCGGGUUCCG
rnacentral:ncRNA from 1 species